rnacentral:ncRNA from 2 species
AUCUUAUUCAGAGUAGGUGGAGGGACUUGGCCCUAUGAAACCUCAGCAGCAGGCUUAUGCACUGUGCUAAUUCCAACAAGAUGUAAUCUUGAAAGAUAAGAA